GUGCUCGCUUCAGCAGCACAUAUACUAAAAUUAGAACAAUACAGAAGGUUAGCAUGACCCCUUUAUGGUUUAAAAAAAAAGAAAAAGAAAUGAAAGCCUCCCUC
ensembl:snRNA U6 U6 spliceosomal RNA